rnacentral:rRNA from 1 species
AAUAUUGGACAAUGGGCGCAAGCCUGAUCCAGCCAUGCCGCGUGAGUGAUGAAGGCCUUAGGGGUGUAAAGCUCUUUCGGCGGGGACUACAAUGACGGUACCCGCAGAAGAAGCCCCGGCUAACUUCGUGCCAGCAGCCGCGGUAAUACGAAGGGGGCUAGCGUUGUUCGGAACCACUGGGCGUAAAGGGCGCGUAGGCGGCUUGAUAAGUCGGGAGUGAAAGCCUGUGGCUCAACCACAGAAUUGCCUUCGAUACUGUCUGGCUUGAGACCGGAAGAGGUAAGUGGAACUGCGAGUGUAGAGGUGAAAUUCGUAGAUAUUCGCAAGAACACCAGUGGCGAAGGCGGCUUACUGGUCCGGUUCUGACGCUGAGGCGCGAAAGCGUGGGGAGCAAACAGG